CUAGAAAUAAAUAUGAUAGCCAUCAUUCCUAUCAUAAUAAAAAAACCUAAUCCUCGAGCCACAGAAGCCUCAGCCAAAUACUUUCUAACACAAGCCACAGCAUCCUCAUUACUUAUACUAGCAAUUAUUAUUAACCUAAUACACUCCAGCCAAUGAACCAUCAUAAAAUUAUUCGACCGAACAGCAUCCAUUCUAAUAACAAUAGCUUUAGCCAUUAAACUAGGAUUAUCCCCUUUUCACUUUUGAGUACCAGAAGUUACACAAGGUGUUCCCCUAAGCACAGGACUAAUCCUACUUACGUGACAAAAACUCGCACCCAUCUCAAUCCUUUAUCAAAUUUCACCAUCAAUCAAUCUACACCUAAUAAUUACUAUAUCCUUCCUAUCAAUUCUAAUCGGAGGCUGAGGUGGACUAAACCAAACAACUCUGAAAAAUCAUAGCCUAUUCAUCAAUUGCUCACAUAGGAUGAAUAACCGCUGUUUUAUUAUACAACCCAGCCCUCACCCUACUAAAUCUAUUAAUUUACAUUGUAAUAACCUUCACCAUAUUUAUACUACUUAUUCAAAACUCCACUACCACCACACUACUACUAUCCCAAACAUGAAAUACAAUACCUGUUAUAACAACCUUUACUAUGCUUACCCUACUCUCCAUAGGAGGACUUCCUCCACUCACAGGCUUUAUACCCAAAUGAAUGAUUAUUCAAGAACUAACAAAAAACGACACCCUCAUCCUACCCACCCUCAUAGCCAUCACAGCUCUACUCAACCUAUAUUUCUAUAUACGCCUUACCUACUCCACAGCAUUAACCCUGUUCCCCUCUACCAACAACAUAAAAAUAAGAUGACAAUUCCACUCCACAAAACAAAUAACCCUUUUACCAACAGCAAUCGUACUAUCCACAAUACUCCUACCUCUUACACCAGCACUCUUUAUCCUACUAUAAGGGUUUAGGUUAAAUAAGACCAAGAGCCUUCAAAGCCCUAAGCAAGUAUAAUUUUACUUAACCCCUGCCCAAUAAGGAUUGCAAGACCAUAUCUCACAUCAAUUGAAUGCAAAUCAAACACUUUAAUUAAGCUAAAUCCUCACUAGAUUGGAGGGAUACAUCUCCCACGAACUUUUAGUUAACAGCUAAAUACCCUAAUAAACUGGCUUCAAUCUACUCCCGCCGCGAGAAAAAAAAGGCGGGAGAAGUCCCGGCAGGAUUGAAGCUGCUUCUUUGAAUUUGCAAUUCAAAAUGAUUAUUCACCACAGGACUUGGCAAAAAGAGGACUUUACCCCUGUCUUUAGAUUUAUAGUCUAAUGCCUACUCGGCCAUUUUACCUAUGUUCAUAAACCGAUGACUAUUCUCUACCAAUCACAAAGACAUUGGUACUCUGUAUUUACUAUUUGGCGCCUGGGCAGGAAUAGUGGGUACUGGUCUAAGCUUGUUGACUCGUGCUGAAUUAGGUCAACCUGGCACACUUAUCGGAGACGACCAACUUUAUAAUGUUCUAGUAACAGCUCACGCCUUCGUAAUAAUUUUCUUUAUGGUUAUACCUAUCAUAAUUGGGGGAUUUGGAAACUGA